CUGCCUACCGCGACACUAUGGGACAGCCGCCUCUCGUCCGCUCUGCAGCCGCAACAGACUCGCACGCUCACCACCGCCGCCAUGAGGACACGCACGCUGCUGGUACUGCUGCUCGUGUUGGUGGCUACGGCCACACUCGUCGCCCCCGCGGCAGCCUGGAGGUGGCCCUGGGAGAAGCCAAAAAUUACCGCAGAGAUGAUCAAGAUGCAGCAGAGGUGUGGGUCCGGAACGGUGCUAGUCGGCAGCAGGUGUAGGAGGGUCUACAUGGCAUGAGGUGGCUGGGGACAUUCUUAAUGUGGACGACAACAUUUCAAAAGAAUGGAAAAAGUGGAAGCUUUUAUAUGUAAAUAAAUUUUGUACAGUUAUUUAUAAUGUAAGUAAUACAUGUAACACUUUUUUAAAAGAA